UACAGAGGUGCAAACGUUGCUCGGAAUCAUUGGGCGUAAAGCGUACGUAGGCGGCUUGGUAAGUCGGUAGUGAAAGCCCUCGGCUUAACCAAGGAAGUGCAUCCAAAACUGCUGAGCUUGAGUAGUUAAGAGGAUCGCGGAAUUCCCGGUGUAGAGGUGAAAUUCGUAGAUAUCGGGAGGAACACCAGUGGCGAAGGGCGG
rnacentral:rRNA from 1 species